rnacentral:rRNA from 1 species
AAUAGAUACCCAGGUAGUCCACGCCCUAAACGAUGACGACUGGAUGUCGGAGGGGUCUGCCUUUCGGUGUCGUAGCUAACGCAUUAAGUACCCCGCCUGGGGAGUACGGCCGCAAGGCUAAAACUCAAAGGAAUUGACGGGGGCCCGCACAAGCGGCGGAGCAUGUGGAUUAAUUCGAUGCAACGCGAAGAACCUUACCUGGGUUUGACAUGCACAGGACGCCGGCAGAGAUGUCGGUUCCCUUGUGGCCUGUGUGCAGGUGGUGCAUGGCUGUCGUCAGCUCGUGUCGUGAGGUGUUGGGUUAAGUCCCGCAACGAGCGCAACCCUUGUCCUAUGUUGCCAGCGGGUUAUGCCGGGGACUCGUAGGAGACUGCCGGGGUCAACUCGGAGGAAGGUGGGGAUGACGUCAAGUCAUCAUGCCCCUUAUGUCCAGGGCUUCACACAUGCUACAAUGGCCGGUACAAAGGGCUGCGAUGCCGUGAGGUGGAGCGAAUCCUUGGUAAAGCCGGUCUCAGUUCGGAUCGGGGUCUG